ACACAGCUGCUGGUGAGGCCAGUCAGUGCAAUAAGGCCUUUGACUGCCCUCACAGCCAUGACUACAUUUUAGAGGUAAAAUGGCACAAGGAAGUGGAUCACAGGAACAGAUUCAUUUGAAUUCCUUGCAGUACAGCAUUUACGUUGGAAUUUCUUAAUUCUGGUUUUUCAAAAGCUCAGCUAUUAUCAUUUAGUGUGACUUUUCUCCACGGAAAUGUACUGACUGACCUCAGUCUGGUGGAAUCUCAGGUUAAAAUCUGAUCAGUUAGCAAGAGAAACACUGAUCUCAUUCCAAUCCCUUGCAGAUUUUUGCCCAAAAAAAUCAUACAGACACUUGGCAGCUUCUAACUCACUUUGGGAAGAUCCAAUUUUAGAUAGUUGAGAACAAACUAAUUCAAGAAGAAGCACAUCACAAGGACUGCGAUGCUUUUAAACAUGAUACUCAGUUGACCUGUGUUUUCCUCUUUUCCUGUCUCCCAGUAUCAACUCAGUAGUGAUCUCACAGAGCCCUUCCAUGCUUCUCCCCGGACAGAUAACUGGUAGCCAGACCAGCUGGGCAUUUUGGCUUUGUCUGGGGGCUGGUUUUUUUCCCCUCCCUUGCUGCCUUAAGCUGAGAAGCAGCCUCAGAGCUCACAGAAUGCCGACAGUGUGACUGCCUGUGGGCAAAGGAAGCUGGUUUCUCCCAGGUCGAGUAAGUCACUAGCAAAUGUGUUUCUGUUUGGACUACUUGUUGUGGGUUGCUCCCAAAGGAAUUGACCAAUGCAGUACUCCUUCCCCCAAAAUAGUGAGCAAACAAGAUAAAUCCAGUGACACUUACACAUGAAAAAAUAGAAGCUGAUUAAACACAAGGAACAGCUCAGAACUAGGGGCAGGAAAGCAAAAUGACACAGCCAAGAAAUGGAUUAAAGAAAUAAAUCGGUCGAAUCAACUUGAAACGCCAGGAAGAGCUUUUUUGUCCCUGGCAAAUUCACUUGAGCAACUGAUCAGUAACAGAAAGGAGAGCUGAACCACGUGUCAGGCAGGCCAUAGUCAAGAACAGCCACAAGCAGAGGUGCUCUCAAGACCCCCAGCUGCAUUAUCAUCUGAAUUUCAUUAGUAUUCUGAAUAGCACCCCUGAUGAAGUUGACUGGGAAAAAAAAGAUUUAGAAGUCACUGAUCUUGCAGGCAGUUUGACAUUCAGCAAAGAACAAGGCCUGAAGGGAAGGAGAUAGCCUGCAGGUUAGGAACAACCAGCUGAACCCUGGAGAAACUAACCCCAGCCUCCAGAAGAGCUUUGCUAGAGCAAGGGGUUCAGGCAGGGGCUGAGGGAGGGGUGCACUUCUAAGCCUCUCCUCUGAAUCUGACACAGGCAGGAAGCCUUCAAGUCCUCAAAAUGUUCUGUUCAUCCAAGGCUGGCUGGAAAAUAAGCUGGCCACCUCCAUGGGGUGGGAAACCUGAUGUGGAGCACAGCUGGUGGUGUCCUGCUGAUACCAAACAAAGGGGCUCCCACUCUUCACUCUGUUGACUCAGUUAUCCUGAGUCUAUCACAAGGGAGGACAGCGUGUGUCCUGUGAGCAGGAGAUGGUGAUGUAGGAAGAACAAACAGCCUCUUAUGGGGACGGGAAUUAUCAGGAGACCUGACAAUAACCCUUGCCAGGGACUUUCCCCGUGCUUAUUAACCAUCCAAAGCAAACUGAGCUGCUUUUUCCUGGGCCAUGAGGUUAAAGACGGUCUCUGUUUAACACACAGUGUCAGGUGUGCCGACAGGGAGGCAGGCUGGGCUGUGGGUUUUUUUACGCUGCAGAGCCACCCCAUAUAGAGGAAAGUUCCUAGGGCUGCAUGCAGAGGUGGACGCGACCCUGAAACAGGGAAGAGGCUGAAGGAGACACAAGACAGCAGCCAGAAUCCUUGAUCUGAUGCUUUGGAUUGACUGAGUGCAAGUUGCUGUUCACGUGGUGCUUAGCCUAUGAUUUAGCAAACAAGAGUUUCUUGCGCAAUAGAUCGUAAUUCCUAAUGGGAGCUGGAUCUUGGUUUUCCCUCCUCAAUGCCUCGGUAGUGGCUCUUCUCCUAAAAUUAUUGAAUGGCACCACCUUGUGGGUGCGCGGAGGUGCGGAGACUUUUCCAUCUUUAUUCCAUGUGCGGACCCUGCAGGGGCACAUCUGAACAGCGAGGCGUGCAAAGGGGGAUUCGUUCUCACGCUGCUUCUCAAAGACCGGGCACUCAUCAAUAAGUGCUUUUCUGCUUGUUUGCUGCCAGCUGACAGAAACAGAUUUUAGUGCUUAGGGGUUGAUUUUCAGAGCUUAAUUGAUUUUGCCGUUGCUAGAGGUUGUAUCGGAAAACUGUAAACAGACAAAAUAAUUGGCACUUUCCAAUUAUAGAGGAAGUGCAGAGGAAAAACACUGAAAUACACAUUAAAGAUCAUCUGCCCAGGAUGCCACUUCUUAUCUUUUUCCAAGGUGUGAAAUCUAUGUGUCAGCUUGUCCAUGCAUCACACAAUUCCCUAAACUCCUGAAAGUAAGGUGUAGUGGGAGAAUUUACCAUAUUGUACUGUUGAGUUUGCCUUUAGGGAUUACCCUGGCUGUGACAGACAGCACAUGUCCUAAACUGCAGUUUCUGGGAAGCACCAGACAUAUGUUUGUGAAUAGAACAGCCUGUGUACAUCGACUCCAAGACUUUCCAGAAAGCACUGGCUGCAUGUUGUGUAUUUUAUACAGCAUUAAGAAUCACGUUACCAUGGGUAUGCAGGAACCCAGGAUGCUAAACAGGAGCUAUGGCACAGUGGGACUGUGCAUGUAUGGAGUCCCAGGUUUUUUGGUCAAGUGGGAUUAUCAUGUAUAAACCCAAGAAGCUCCACUAAAUCUACCCAGACAAGAUUUUGCAGAGUGAAGAGGAUGAUGUCCUAAAAAAAUGGAUAUAUUGUAGCCUAAACCAUAUCAAGAAAAGAACAGAAUCUUAAGCAGAAUAUAGACAGGUGGGCAGACACAUCCAUACAAUUCUAUUGUCCACAGGGGAAAAAAAAAACCAUAAAUAAAUACAAAUGGUUAAACUGCUAAUUAAAAUUUUCAAGCUUGCUUCUCAAACUCGGUUUCAAUUUUGGAAAGAGCAUUUUCCUUUCACAGUGUUGCCUCUCCAGCCAUGUGCCUGUCCAGUUUUUUUCUAGGCAAAGUUACAAGGGCUGGAUGAAAAGCUGUGCCAGAGAUGUGCUGAGACACCAUGGGCAGAACAACAUGGUCAAAGCAAUGUGGUCCACAAAGUGAGGAGAGUGCCAAGAAAAGGGAUGGGGAAAGCUUGCCAGGGGAUUAGGGAGGUUUCUGAGAGCAGGCAUGAAGUUAGGAGUGGGAAGGCACCAGGCCACUCAAAGCAAGGCUCUGCAAGGGACAGUUUGCUGUGUGUUCCCAACAACCCGAGGCACCCACCAGGAUAACCCCAUCUGGAGUGUUGAAUGAGCACAGAGUGAACAACAGUCCUGUCCCCAGAGCACCUGCAGCCUGACAAUAGCCCGGGAUGUGCUGAGGGGAGAGCGUGAGCUGUGAGAGCAGGUGGGUGGUGUGAGAGGCAGCAAUGCUGGCACAUCAGCAGCCAGAGCUCUGUGGUUGCUUUUUCCAGCCGUGACAGUGGAGCACAGUUUAAAGCAGGGAUCUGGAAGAAGAAAAUGAGGCAGGCUUAGAGACAGUGGUGGGGAUUUCCUCUUUGCUGCCCUGAACACACUGCCUGUGUGGGAGCAAAAAUGAAGAUGCUUACUUGGAAAUUCAGAAAACUGAUAACAGCAGUGACCUCUGGGAUAAAUCAGAAACUGCUGUCAAUAUCCAGUUUUGAAGAGCAAUAGUAGGAAGGAAGGGAAUUUACAGGCUGAUGUCAUCAGUAGUGAAUGUUUGCAAAAGGGAUUAAAGGAAGUGAGGGAGCCCCUCUAGUGGGAGAAUCCAAGAAAGGCAAUCUCAGCCAUUAGCUGGCAAAAUGAUUCUAAUGCAGCAUCCAGGAUGGUUGCAAAUGUGAAUCAAGAUUGUCCCAAAAUGAACAGCGUGGCAUCAUUUAUAUUAUGUAAGGUAAAAUACCCUCAAAACUGAAGAAAACAUCCAACAGUUUCUAACCAGCUGAUCACAAGAAAAGCUUUUCCUGACUUGAUAUCUGGUGAAGGAGCCAAGACUGAGCAUAUGAACAGAACACCCCUAUGAUGCACACAAAUUUUAAAUCAUGUAGAAACAGUAGCAUAUUUCAUAGUCUUUUGGCCUGUACUCCAGAACUCCCUGUUCAUUCACCAGGUGCUAGGGAAGGUCACAGAGACACUAAAAUGCUCAAAUUAAAUAAUGGUCCCACCUCUUGUGUGAAUCUGAGGUAGCCAGAAAAACUUGCAGCAUGUCAAAAACAUAAUACAAUGAGAAAGGAAAAAGCAUAGUCCAUAAUACAAAGGGAAAGGAAAAAGCAUAAUCCAUAAUACAAUGGGAAAGGAAAAAGCACUGUCUGCCUCCAUUACUAGGGGAAAUCACUGACUCUGUGUCCACCUCAGUUUCCAAUUUGUAAAGUAGGGUGAAGAGCAGUUCUUCACUCUUAUAAAAAGGCACAUGUCAAAAAUCAUGAAGGCUCUGAAAUGCCAACAUGUUCAGGAGAGGGAACCAGCUUAGUGUCUGGGCUUGAUGUGUAGUGGCACCAACUUUAACAGCUUGCAGAUUCUGUUUUAGCACUGAGCUGCCAAACAGGACAGCAGACCAGCAGGGCUGCAUUGGGAGAGGACAGCUCCAGCUGCAGAGCAGGCUUGCUUAUGACAGCCACCUUCUGCUCCAGGAGCCAUGGCUGUCAGGAGGACAAUGCCUCUGCCUGAUGAAGAGGAUGAGGAAGAUAAUGUCCAUUAGACACCUGUAAUAGUUUAACACUUGGAUUUUAUCCUGCAGCAACACAUUCAAUAUUUCCACCUAUUUAUGUGGUGUUUUAGGGCUGUAUUUGACAGGCUUUAAUGUAAACAUGGUAUUGCUGGCACACCAAGAGCUUUUUUUUUGGCAUUGCUUUUACAGAGUCUUUACAUAGAGUGAGUUGAUGUGUGACUCAUAUAAAUUCAGAUUUUUUUCUUACUUUGAGCAGAUGUGGCCCCUCAGUGUGAGCCUGAAAACAGUUGGGGUGUUGCUGGGGUUUAUUUACAAACCUCUAAGCCAGCAGUUUCAAAUCUGGGUUAAAGUUAGAUGCCUGUUUCCAUGACAGAUGGUCUCAUUUUGAGAAGGAGUGAGUCUUGACAACUGGGGCUGGCUGGGAGAGUGAAUUUCUGUUUCAUAAAGACGAUUCUAUUUUCAGCGUAUUUUCAGAUCCCAGAUCAAGAUUUAAACCUCCAAAUUCAAAUAUCGUUUAGGGAUGAACAACAUUUCAUCUUGCCAGCAUCAAGGCUCCUGCUGAUCCCUGGCUGCUGCCAGUGUUUAUCCAGGCUGCUGCAAGAACGAGGAGUGCUGUCUGUGUUGUCACCUGCCUGACAGAGCUGGGGGGUGUCAGGGGUGAAGGCUGGCUGGGAGCCUUUCUCAGGGGGUUGUGCACUUCCCAAUGGUUGUGCUCUGGGGUUCAGGGAACAAGUCUGAGCCCGUGGGCUGUCCCUGUGACUUGGCAUGGCAGGAUUGUGUUAGGGGGUCCCUGGGCUCCACAGCAGCCCUGGAGGUAAAAGGACCAGAGAAGGGUUGUCAUAGAAACCCUGACUGUUCUUUAGCCCUGACAGGAUCAGAUCUCAUCAGAGGCUUUUCUGGAGCAACUCAAGGAAAAGCAUUUCCAUAAAAAUGUUCUUGUCCUUCCACUGCAGACUCCAGUUACAUUG